rnacentral:tRNA from 2 species
GGGGGCAUAGCUCAGUUGGGAGAGCGCUUGAAUGGCAUUCAAGAGGUCAUGGGUUCAAGUCCCACUGUCUCCA